AGAGAGAGAGAGGAGCUCGCAGAGGAGAGAGAAACACAAUGGCUAGGAAUAGGAGAGUCUCGCAAGGAGGGAGAGCUGGUACGCCUCCGCCGUUGUCGCAAGCUGCGCCACCGCGCCUCUGGUCACCGGGAUCGCGCUGACGUCGUCGGAAGCCGCUGUUGGAAACUCUGCAAGUUUGCCCUAGCUCAGCUUUGCUUCUGCCUGUUCUGUCCUUGCCGGUGGGGGGUCACCGGAGCUGCUGAUGCUCCAUCCUCUUAUUUCCUUUGUGAGAAAUCGAAGUUGUUGCUACUACCUCGAUCCAAAUUUCGUGCUCUUUCAUUCCAUUCUACUUCAACCUUCCUCACCUUUUCUCUUGGCACUCUGGUUUGGUUUCUUCGGUCCCUUGGGACCAAUUUGAAUAAAUAUUUGAUUAUGUGAGCCUUUCUAUUCAAGUGUAAUGAUCUGCAAUGGGUAUCUAUUCGUUGUUGAGUUCUUAGACGUCAUCUGCUCCAUAUGUCACAGGCAGGAUCCACCCAUAUUUAUUUUAUUUUUUGUUUGUUAAAAAUAUGUAAUUAUUCAUUUUA